rnacentral:rRNA from 1 species
UGGGGAAUCUUGCGCAAUGCGCGAAAGCGUGACGCAGCAACGCCGCGUGGGGGAAGACGGCCUUCGGGUUGUAAACCCCUUUCAGGAGGGACGAAGGUUGGGCGGUGAAUAGCCGUUCCGACUGACGGUACCUCCACAAGAAGCCCCGGCUAACUACGUGCCAGCAGCCGCGGUAAUACGUAGGGGGCUAGCGUUGUCCGGAAUCAUUGGGCGUAAAGAGCGUGUAGGCGGUCCGGUAAGUCCGUUGUGAAAGUCAGGGGCUCAACCCUUGAAUGCCGGCGGAUACUGUCGGGCUAGAGUCCGGAAGAGGCAAGUGGAAUUCCCGGUGUAGCGGUGAAAUGCGCAGAUAUCGGGAGGAACACCUAUGGCGAAGGCAGCUUGCUGGGACGGUACUGACGCU